rnacentral:rRNA from 1 species
UACGUAGGGCGCAAGCGUUAUCCGGAAUUAUUGGGCGUAAAGAGCUCGUAGGCGGUUUGUCGCGUCUGCCGUGAAAGUCCGGGGCUUAACCCCGGAUCUGCGGUGGGUACGGGCAGACUAGAGUGCAGUAGGGGAGACUGGAAUUCCUGGUGUAGCGGUGAAAUGCGCAGAUAUCAGGAGGAACAACGAUGGCGAAGGCAGGUCUCUGGGCUGUAACUGACGCUGAGGAGCGAAAGCAUGGGGAGCGAACAGG